rnacentral:pre_miRNA from 1 species
GAGCAGGGCUGAUCCAAAGCCCACUGAAAUCAAUGGAAAUAUUUCUAUUGCUUUCACUGGGCUUUGAAUCAGGCCCAGUAAUC